rnacentral:rRNA from 1 species
AUUGAACGCUGGCGGCAUGCUUUACACAUGCAAGUCGGACGGCAGCACAGAGAAGCUUGCUUCUUGGGUGGCGAGUGGCGAACGGGUGAGUAACAUAUCGGAACGUACCGAGCAGUGGGGGAUAACUAAUCGAAAGAUUAGCUAGUACCGCAUAUACUCUGAGGAAGAAAGCAGGGGACCAUUUGGCCUUGCGCUAUUUGAGCGGCCGAUAUCUGAUUAGCUAGUUGGUGGGGUAAAGGCCUACCAAGGCGACGAUCAGUAGCGGGUCUGAGAGGAUGAUCCGCCACACUGGGACUGAGACACGGCCCAGACUCCUACGGGAGGCAGCAGUGGGGAAUUUUGGACAAUGGGCGCAAGCCCUGAUCCAGCCAUGCCGCGUGUCUGAAAGAAAGGGCCCUUUCGGGUUGUAAAA